AUUGAACGCUGGCGGCAUGCCUUACACAUGCAAGUCGAACGGCAGCACGGGAGCAAUCCUGGUGGCGAGUGGCGAACGGGUGAGUAAUAUAUCGGAACGUGCCCAGUCGUGGGGGAUAACGUAGCGAAAGCUACGCUAAUACCGCAUACGAUCUACGGAUGAAAGCGGGGGAUCGCAAGACCUCGCGCGAUUGGAGCGGCCGAUAUCAGAUUAGCUAGUUGGUGGGGUAAAAGCUCACCAAGGCGACGAUCUGUAGCUGGUCUGAGAGGACGACCAGCCACACUGGAACUGAGACACGGUCCAGACUCCUACGGGAGGCAGCAGUGGGGAAUUUUGGACAAUGGGCGCAAGCCUGAUCCAGCAAUGCCGCGUGCAGGAUGAAGGCCUUCGGGUUGUAAACUGCUUUUGUACGGUAACGAAACGGUGAGCUCUAAUAAAGCUUGCUAAUGACGGUACCGUAAGAAUAAGCACCGGCGUAACUACGUGCCG
rnacentral:rRNA from 1 species